UAUAAUUUCUGCUUGAUUUAAAAAAAAACUUCAAUCUCUUUGUCAAAAUUAUCUGAUGGGAUUCUGAAUUCCUUCUCUGUGUUAUCAUUAAUUUCAUUGAACUUCCUUAAAACACCUAUUUUGAAUUUUCUGUUUCAAAGGUCACAUAUCUCUGUCAUGCUGGGAUUGGUCACUUAUGCCUUAUUUAGUUCAUUUGGUGAGGUCACAUUUUCCUGGACAGUGUUAAUGCUUAUGGAUAUUCGUUGAUGUCCUGGCAUUGAAGACUCUGGUGUUUAUUGCAGUCUUUGCAGUCUGGGCUUGUUUGUAUCUGUCUUUCUUGGGAAGGCUUUAAAGUACACAAAGGGAAUUGAGUAUUGUGAUCUAUAUCUUUUGUCACUGCAGUUGUAUCUGCAUUAGAGGGCACCCUAAGCCCAGUAACACCGUGACUCUUGUAGACUUGUAGAAGUACUGCCUUGGUCAUCUUGGGUAAGAUCUGAAAGAACUCCUUGGAUUACCAGGAAGAGACUCCUGUUCUUUUUCUUUACUUUCCCCCCAAAACAAACAGGGUCUCUCUCUGCUGAGCUGUCUGGAGCUGGGAGAGGGGUGACACAAGCACUCCUGUGACCACCACCACUGGGGCUGUGCUGGGUCAUACCUGAAGACAACAUAGCAUUGGGUCUCACUCAAGGUCUAUGCUGUUCUGGAGACCCCGUGUUGGUGGCAGGGCAGACUUCAAAGAGACAUCACAUUGUGAACAUCAAGGAAACAUCUGGUUGUGUUUGGAGAUCAACUACUAAAAAUUCCUCCAUAUGUCAAGGACAGUCACCUGCUCUGGAAACUCAUCAGACUUCUCCUCAAUAACACACCAACUUGAAGUGUGCAUUUGACAACUCCUGAAAUUCUACUACUGGUGCAAGAAAUAAGAACCAGAAGGAAACUGAGACCUUCAUCUCUGGCAUUUCUGGGUAGAUAGGAUACAGUUCUGAAAAUCAGAUACUUGGUCUUGGGUGUUGCUCUAUGUUGCUCAUAGCUCCCUUUUUAGAGUCCAAGUACAAUUUGAUGAUGUUAUUGUGAGCUAAAGAGCCUCAUUGGGUUUUUGGCAUCAUCUUCAGCUACAAUUCCACUGUCCAGUGGCUGCUAACUAUUGGGGUACUAUACAUAGCAACUUAAACACACCAUCACAUUUGAAUCCACCUUACCCCAAAGGAUUAGGUGCUGGUGUUACUUUCACAAUACAGAUGAGAGAACUGAGGCACUAACAGAUUAAAACAAAUCCUCCAUUUGCACUGUGAAUUACUGCUGCAGUUGGAAUUAGCACUAAUUUGUUUGACUUUAGCGUGUGCGCUGUUUUUUAAAAACAAGAAGAGUAACUUUAUAGUUUUUGUAAAAGUGAUACAUGUAUACUACACAAAAUUCAAGCCAUCGGAGGACACAGAAGAAUGGAAAAUAAUCUACCUUAUUUCAUGCUCUCCACAAAGCCAUAAUUAAUAUUUAGUGACUAUCAUUCAGGACAUCUUUCUAUAUACACAUGCAGACAUAAGAAUAGAGA